rnacentral:lncRNA from 1 species
ACGGCCGGGCAGCGCCCACGGCCCGCGGGGCGCGGGGUGGGGCGCGGCCCGGAACGGAGCCGCUCUCCGCCGCCCGCCCCCGCGGUGUUCCCCGGUGUUCCCAUGUCCCUCCCCCGGGGCGAACUUUGGCCAGCGCCGCCUGUCCGCCCCGGUGCUGCCAGGGCCGGGACAAAAGGCACACACUGACACGUGAUGGGCGCCGGGCUUCAUAAAUGGGACCGGAGCGGGGCGGAAGGCGGGGGGGACGCAGCGGCGGCGUGUGCCGGAGCCACGCCGGGCGCCCGGCGGCUCCCGCGCUGCCUCCCCGCGCCGAGGCGGCGGCGGGCGGAGGCGGCGGAGGAGGGGGCGGGCGGGCGGCACAUGGAGCGGCGGCGGCGGCAGGGCGGCGGAGCCCGGCGUGCCGCCUGAGCCGGGCGAGCGAGGGCGGCGGUGGUCGGAGAGGAGGCGCCGAGGGGAGGGAAGCGAAGAAGGGGAGGCAGCCGGGGGGGAGAAGUCUCCCACCUCCUCCUUCCCCUCACCGGCACCGCCUCCUCGGCGCUCCCCAGUGCCGGGGUGCCCGGGUGGGGCGGCGCUCCUGCUCCCUGCCGGGGGUCGGCGCGGCCGGAGCGGGCGGGGAACGCGGCCGGUGCCGUGCGGAGGGUUGUCAGCUGCUGGAUGCUGGGGGGUGUCACAUAGGAGCUAUUUGCCCACAAAUUGGAACAGUGCAGCCCUUAUCCUGCUAGUGUGCAAACGGCUUGGAAACCUUGUUCUGUCCUCGAAGCUGUAUUGUCCAUCGCCAUAUGGGAUAAG